rnacentral:tRNA from 1 species
GGUCGGUUAGCUCAGUCAGUUGAGCGUGGCGGUAAGAACGCGAAGGUCGCGGGUUCGAUUCCCGUUCGGUCCC